rfam:Gossypium hirsutum cultivar TM-1 chromosome 20, whole genome shotgun sequence
UAUUAAAAAUUCAUCUAUUUGUAUUGUUAAAAAUUAGUGUGAUUGAUGAAAUAACCGGAUAGUGCCACGUGUACCUCAUGCUGAUGUAUAAGGACCAAUUUUUAACGGUAGGAAUGGAUGGAAUUUUUAACA